CACACCGCCCGUCGCUCCUACCGAUUGAAUGGUCUGGUGAAGUGUUCGGAUUGCGGCGACGUGGGCGGUUCGCUGCCCGCGACGUGGUGAGAAGUCCACUGAACCUUAUCAUUUAGAGGAAGGAGAAGUCGUAACAAGGUUUCCGUAGGUGAACCUGCGGAAGGAUCAUU
rnacentral:rRNA from 1 species